rnacentral:rRNA from 1 species
AGUGAACGCUGGCGGUAGGCCUAACACAUGCAAGUCGAACGGCAGCACAGUAAGAGCUUGCUCUUACGGGUGGCGAGUGGCGGACGGGUGAGGAAUACAUCGGAAUCUACUUUUUCGUGGGGGAUAACGUAGGGAAACUUACGCUAAUACCGCAUACGACCUACGGGUGAAAGCAGGGGAUCUUCGGACCUUGCGCGAUUGAAUGAGCCGAUGUCGGAUUAGCUAGUUGGCGGGGUAAAGGCCCACCAAGGCGACGAUCCGUAGCUGGUCUGAGAGGAUGAUCAGCCACACUGGAACUGAGACACGGUCCAGAGUCCUACGGGAGGCAGCAGUGGGGAAUAUUGGACAAUGGGCGCAAGCCUGGUCCAGCCAUGCCGCGUGGGUGAAGAAGGCCUUCGGGUUGUAAAGCCCUUUUGUUGGGAAAGAAAAGCAGCAGGUUAAUACCCCGCUGUUCUGACGGUACCCAAAGAAUAAGCACCGGCUAACUUCGUG